rnacentral:rRNA from 1 species
GCUUGCUUUCUUUGCCGGCGACCGGCGCACGGGUGAGUAACACGUAUCCAACCUGCCCUUUACUCGGGGAUAGCCUUUCGAAAGAAAGAUUAAUACCCGAUAGCAUAAUGAUUCCGCAUGGUUUCAUUAUUAAAGGAUUCCGGUAAAGGAUGGGGAUGCGUUCCAUUAGGUUGUUGGUGGGGUAACGGCCCACCAAGCCUUCGAUGGAUAGGGGUUCUGAGAGGAAGGUCCCCCACAUUGGAACUGAGACACGGUCCAAACUCCUACGGGAGGCAGCAUG